rnacentral:snRNA from 1 species
AUCCUUACCUGGCAGGGGAGAUACCAUGAUCACAAAGUGACCCUCCCAGGGUGAGUCUUAUCCAUUGUACUCCAGAUGUUCUGAGCUGACCCCUGAGAUUUUCCCAAAUGCAAGAAACUUGACUGUAUAAAAAAGGAAAGAAAAGAAUGCAGUGGCAUGUAUGAUUGAUCAUCUUCC